rnacentral:rRNA from 1 species
GUAACCGCGGGUCAGCACACCGCGGUGAAUACGUUCCCGGGCCUUGUACACACCGCCCGUCACGUCAUGAAAGUCGGGGACGCCUGAAGCCGGCCGGCCAACCCUCCGGGGGGGCAGCCGUCGAGGGUGGGACCGGCGAUCGGGACGAAGUCGUAACAAGGUAGCCGUACCGGAAGGUGCGGCUGGAUCACCUCCUUU